rnacentral:miRNA from 1 species
UCAGCUGUCAUGAUGCCUUCCU